CACACAGCACCCCACUAUCUGGAGGGCAAAGUGUUCUGUUUGUUUGGCCCUGGUGGUGUGAACCAGAAAUGUACACGGGGCUGUCACUGGCUGAGUAACUGAAGUAAGUAGAAAUUAACCGCAGUGUACCAAGCAAGCUUACCUUGGCAGCCAGCUUCAACGUUUUGACAAGUAUGAUUGCUCUCAACUGGAGGGUUGCCCCAGUUGCUGUCCUUGUUGCUGAGACCGGAGGGCAGAGUCUGGACAUUGAUCCUGUUUCCACACUCUUCUGGAAGAAGCAAACAUCUUCGAUUAGGUAAGUCUACCUGGGCCCCAGCACAUUAAGUGACAGGAAGAGGGAAGCAGCCAGCCCUUGCCCACCUGUGUAAGGAGAGUCCCAAUGCGUUCUGCCUACGAUGCGCCGGUUCUCCUUGGAGCAGGCCUUGCAGACCACUGCCUUCAGGUUGUGGAACUUGGUGAGCCACGAUCUCUGCAAACAGACCAGAUGAAAGAGUGGGAUUGAACAGAGCAGGGUGUGAGGUGGCAGGGGUGGGAUUCAACCUACUAGUGGUCUCUGUCCCCACAUCAAACAGUGUAGGGUCAUGCUCUGCACCAGGCGAAGAGGCUCUGCGCCUCUCCAUUACCAUGAUCUGAAGAGGGUCUUAGAUGACUGUUCCCCUCAUGAGUCCCCUGGAAAUGGCAGCAAAUACCUAUGAUGUCUGCCUCUAUCUUGUGUAGAUUAAACAGUCAUAGCUAAAAACUACUCUCCUGACAAUCUAUGAACACUUAGUGGAGGUGUUGGGGUCAAACGCCAGCAGCAGACGGGGGUCUGAUUAUUAGCUGUUCUGGUAGCUUCUUGAAUUACUAGUCAAAUUUCAUCUUAGAUAAUUCUUUUAAGUGGGCUUGGUGUGAGAUGGAGUGCUCAAUUGUGUAUUUUGAGGUACAUAGACAAGGAUAACUGGCAGCGGUGUUCCAGGGCUGCAUUUUCUUCUGCCACCGCUGCCAGAGUAACAUCCAGAUCUGAGGGAAGGGCUGCCCACUUGUUCUGCUCCUCUAAGUUCUAAACACUCACAAACCCUGCAACACCCUGGAACUUUGGUGAGAAAUGGUGACAGCGACACAUUGCCAAAUGUUUUCCCUGUGGUGUGAAAACUUGGGAGUGUUUUAUCUAACAGAUCAGCAUGUUCUCUCACAAUCACACCGCCUUCUCAUCCCUGUGGGUAAGAAAACAUUCCAAAUGAGCUUGGCGGGAGGCCUCAUUUGGAAAUCUUCCAGGAAUCAUGAAGCAAUUCUACUGAGGAGGGCUGAGUCAGUAGUCGGGGUCCCCAGGCCAUGGGCAGCCUUUCAUAGCAGAAGGGUCUUCCCCAGCUAGUCUGCUGUCUGGGGGAACCCCUCUAUAGAUGGUGCAAGCCUUCCUCUCAGCUCAUUCUCCCUACAGGAGCCACUAGCUAGGUGAACACCAAGUGCUGCUGCUGAGCACGCCAACCUCAUGUGUGGAGAACAGUUAUGGAAAUCUGCCUGCCUGCCUUGGCCUUGUGGAUCGUAUGAGUCCUUAGUGACUGCUCUUGUGCCGUGCUCCCUGCCUGCUGCCGUGCUCCCUGCCUGCUGCCGAGCUCCCCAUCAUGAUCAUCAAGGACACAUCUGUCUUGUCUCAGUGACAGAAAAGUAACUGAGACACUGCCGUAGGAAAAUAUGGGCUAUCACAAGAUGUGGCCACUAAGUCAAACUUACAAGAUCAUUUAUUGUUAGGUUUAUUCUCCUGAAAAACACAGGGAGAGAAGUCCCCUGUUUUUAAAAAUCAUACGUCAUCUCAUUUCAGUUGAAUACCAUUAAGAAUAAAAUGCCACAUGGUAAAAUCUCAAAA
rnacentral:lncRNA from 1 species